CCGCGCAUGCGCAGUCGCGUUCGCAGCAUGGCCGCAGGCAGUAGUGUGGAGUGGCUGAAGAGUGUGAAAGCAGUGAUUUGAGACAUGUGUGGAGUUCUGAGAGGGAGGAGGACAGGCGACACACGGAUCUGGAGAAGCAGUGAGGAGGCUGAUGGAUUCCGGUCUGACGGUGCGUUUCUGCACUAAUGAGACUCAGAACACGAGUGAGAGGUUCUACAGAAGCACGUGUGAUGGGCUUCGACAUCAGCGUUGUGAUGAUUGGUGAUGAUCUGCUCAAUGAUGUCGGUGGAGCUCAGCGCUGCGGGAUGAAGGGUCUUCAGGUCAGAACCGGCAAAUACAGGCCGAGCGAUGAGCACACCCGAGCGUGAGAGCAGACGCUUACAUGCACGACCUCGCGGCCGCCGUACUGACCGAUCACUGACCGAUCAGGACAUGGCACUCGUGAUUGAUGACGCACUGACUGUGAAGCUGCACUGACACAUGAAGAAAACUGUGAACAUGUGCAAUGCAUUAUAAAGAAUAUCUCGUGAUGUUUGCUGGCGCUCCGGUGACUGCUUCAUGCGGUUUGGUGUUUGAGCUUCGUUCAGGACAAUAGCGUGAUGCUGGCAGACAUGAAGCGCUGCAGAACAAACAGCAUCACGGAGAUCUGGAGCAGAGGUCGAGGCACACAGACGUCUUUGUGUUUCUUACAGCUGUGCCCGUUUCACAACACGCUCCACUCACUUUGGUCUUCCAGUCGAGGUGUAAUAAAGCUCUGAUGCUGAUGUAAAGCAGACGCUUCUAUUCUAACGCAGCAGAUUCUCCAGGCUCGUUUACGAUCAUAUCUGCUCAUCUAAACAUUAAGGCCACUUUUAACCCUCGCACAUAAAGCUACAGUGAAAUAAGCUGCUGUUAGACUCUAACAGUCGUUCAUCCAUGUUGUUAUAUUUAAUUUGGCCCGAUGGGUUCACACACACACACACUCUCUCACACACA